AUCCUAAAAUGCGUCAAAAAUCUCAUAUGUGACAAUCUUGCUAAUUGUAUCAAUCGAUGCCUAGAUGACGGAGUUUUCCCUGAUUCACUAAAAAUAGCCAAAGUAAGACCCGUAUUUAAAUCUGGUGAUAAAUUUGAUCCCGGCAAUUACAGACCCAUAUCGGUUCUACCAGUAACAUCAAAAAUAUUUGAAAAACUUAUACAUCAGCGACUAACAGAACAUCUUGAUAAUAAUAAUUUCCUAUCCGACAAACAAUACGGUUUUCGCUCAGGGUCAAACACCCUCUCGGCAACUACAGACCUUCUUACAGAAAUAAAAGUAAAUAUAGAUAAGAAAAACAUUGCACUUGGUAUCUUUAUUGACCUAAAAAAGGCUUUUGAUACAGUGAGCCAUACACUUUUACUUUCAAAGCUAAAUUCUAUAGGUAUUGUUGGAAAUGCAUUUAAAAUUUUAGAAUCAUACCUCAAUAAUAGGAUACAAAUUACAAAGCUAGGUCAAACGAAAAGCAAUCCUUGUGAAGUCAAAUACGGAAUCCCACAGGGAUCUAUUUUAGGACCAUUGCUGUUCUUAAUCUAUGUGAAUGAUAUGCAUAACAUUGGAUUAAAGGCACACCUAACAUUAUACGCGGAUGAUACCUGCCUGUUCUACUUUGGCUUGCAAAUAGAAACUCUGAUAGAGCAAGCACAAUAUGAUCUAAAUUUACUCCACAGAUGGCUUCUUUGUAACCUAUUAACGAUUAAUGAGUCUAAAACUAAUCAUGAUCCCUUAGUAAUAAAUGGUGUAACAUUACAAACAGUAGAACAGGAGAAAUACCUUGGCCUUAUUCUGGACAAUAAGCUAUCCUGGAUACCACAUAUCGACUCCCUACGUUCCAAAAUUACAUCACUGACGGGUGCAUUGCGAAAGAUUGUUCGCUGUCUGCCAAAAAGGGUUCGUUACACCAUUUAUAACUCACUCAUUAAGCCUAAUCUAGAAUACCUGAUAGAAAUAUGGGGAUCGGCCUCCAAAACUAACCUAAAACCCUUACAAAUUUCGCAAAAUAAAAUAAUAAAAGUAUUAUUUAAUUAUAAGCGCCUUACACCUACUAGCACUCUAUAUAAGGAGACGAAAAUACUAAAUAUUUCCCAAACUUAUGUAUACAACACGUGCAUCCUUGUAAGAAAAAUCAUAAAUAAAGAUAUACAUAGCCAUAUAACGUUCACUAAAAGAUCAGAGGUACAAAAAAGAUUGACGCGACAAGCUAAUAACAUACUCCUUCGUCCACCCAGAACACUAUACGGGAAAAAGAAUAUAAUAUACGAAGGAGCUCAACUAUACAACAAACUACCAAAGGAUGUCAAAGAUGCCAAGUCAAUGACGGUCUUCAAAAGAGCACUAAAACAACACGUAUUAAAUAAUAAAUCUAGGUAGGCCGUCUGCUUAUACGCCAAGUACUUAU